UGGAGCUGUAUUGUGUACUAUUGAUAUUAACAGAGAUUGUAUCCCUAAUGGAAUUUUGAAGUACAUUUUGGAUAAACUAGAUACGGCAGACUCAAAAGACGACAUUCAAGCAGUGUUUCAUGUUGAUGAGGCCACUGAAUUUUUGUAAGCCACUGGCUAUACUAAACCUGUGUUGAAUCUGGGCUUAGAUGACAAGGAUAACAUCCAAUCCAUUAUGGUAGCCUACCAUUGUUUUCUAAAAGUCAAAUCUGAAAUGGAUCAAUUUAUUGAGGGGCUACGUGUCACUGGAGUACUUGAUUUUGUUCGGGAGUCACCCUCUGUGUUAAAGCACAUGUUUGUUCUCAU